GGCCCAGUGGUCUAGUAGUAUGAUACUCGCUUCGGGUAAGUCCCUCAUACCUUGGUAUGAAAAUUUGUGAGUGGUCCCGGGUUCAAUUCCCGGCUGGGCCC